rnacentral:rRNA from 1 species
UACGUAGGGUGCAAGCGUUUAAUCGGAAUUACUGGGCGUAAAGCGCGGGCAGGUGGUCUUUUUAAGUCCUUUUGUGAAAUCCCCGGGGCUCAACUCCGGAUGUGCAUAGGAUACUGGAAGACUGGAGACUGGUAGAGGCGAGCGGAAUUCCUGGUGUAGCGGUGGAAUGCGUAGAUAUCGGGAGGAACACCGGUGGCGAAGGCGGCCUUCUGGACGGAUAC